rnacentral:rRNA from 1 species
GACGAACGCUGGCGGCGUGCUUAACACAUGCAAGUCGUACGGUAAGGCCCUUUCGGGGGUACACGAGUGGCGAACGGGUGAGUAACACGUGAGUAACCUGCCCACAACUUUGGGAUAACGCUAGAAAACUGGUGCUAAUACUGGAUAUGUGCUCCUGCUGCAUGGUGGGGGUUGGAAAGCUCCGGCGGUUGUGGAUGGACUCGCGGCCUAUCAGCUUGUUGGUGGGGUAGUGGCCUACCAAGGCGGCGACGGGUAGCCGGCCUGAGAGGGUGACCGGCCACAUUGGGACUGAGAUACGGCCCAGACUCCUACGGGAGGCAGCAGUGGGGAAUAUUGCACAAUGGGCGCAAGCCUGAUGCAGCAACGCCGCGGGCGGGAUGACGGCCUUCGGGUUGUAAACCGCUUUCAGCAGGGACGAAGCUUUUUGUGACGGUACCUGCAGAAGAAGCACCGGCUAACUACGUG